rnacentral:rRNA from 2 species
UGGGGAAUUUUGGACAAUGGGCGCAAGCCUGAUCCAGCCAUUCCGCGUGCAGGAUGAAGGCCCUCGGGUUGUAAACUGCUUUUGUACGGAACGAAAAGGUCCUGGUUAAUACCUGGGGCUGAUGACGGUACCGUAAGAAUAAGCACCGGCUAACUACGUGCCAGCAGCCGCGGUAAUACGUAGGGUGCAAGCGUUAAUCGGAAUUACUGGGCGUAAAGCGUGCGCAGGCGGUUAUGUAAGACAGGUGUGAAAUCCCAGGGCUUAACCUUGGAACUGCAUUUGUGACUGCAUAGCUAGAGUACGGUAGAGGGGGAUGGAAUUCCGCGUGUAGCAGUGAAAUGCGUAGAUAUGCGGAGGAACACCGAUGGCGAAGGCAAUCCCCUGGACCUGUACUGACGCUCAUGCACGAAAGCGUGGGGAGCAAACA